AUUGAACGCUGGCGGAAUGCUUUACACAUGCAAGUCGAACGGCAGCACGGGGGCAACCCUGGUGGCGAGUGGCGAACGGGUGAGUAAUACAUCGGAACGUGCCCAGUCGUGGGGGAUAACGUAGCGAAAGCUACGCUAAUACCGCAUACGAUCUCUGGGUGAAAGCGGGGGACCGCAAGGCCUCGCGCGAUUGGAGCGGCCGAUGGCAGAUUAGGUAGUUGGUGGGGUAAAGGCUCACCAAGCCGACGAUCUGUAGCUGGUCUGAGAGGACGACCAGCCACACUGGGACUGAGACACGGCCCAGACUCCUACGGGAGGCAGCAGUGGGGAAUUUUGGACAAUGGGCGAAAGCCUGAUCCAGCCAUUCCGCGUGCAGGAUGAAGGCCCUCGGGUUGUAAACUGCUUUUGUACGGAACGAAAAGGCUCUUUCUAAUACAGAGGGCUCAUGACGGUACCGUAAGAAUAAGCACCGGCUAACUACGUGCCAGCAGCCGCAGUAAAAC
rnacentral:rRNA from 1 species